ACACAACUGCAGCCUGGCGAGUCUCUGCUUGGUGGCCAGCUACGACUAGUGCCAGGGAGCGCACCUUCUCCAGUAUGCCCUCCUGAGCCGCUGCCGUCCUCUCUGCCGCGAUGGCGAGCCGGGUGGUGGAUUGUUCGAUCCUUCGCAGCACCUGAAAUGAAUAAUUGUGGUGGAAUUGUUCAUAUGAGUUGCUGAUUACUCGCAACCAGCUCAUCGCUGGAAGCUGUUGUUGUCAAGAAUUGCAACGUGCACAACAAUUGCCCACCUCCCUCGCUGUAGCCACUGUAGUGUCUAUCCUCCUAACACAUCACAUAUCCUAUGGCAAUGCCAUCCAAAACUACCCCCCUUACCCAAACCUUCAUCCCUCCCAUCUACCCCUUCCUCCGAGUGGCUGACCGCCGCAACCACCCUUCACGACCAACGAUUCCUUGGGGACUUCAUCGGCCUAGCGCUGAAGCAUGCCGCAAGCGACGCCCUGGACUCAGGGCACUGAUGCAUUUUUUAUCGCAGAAUAAAAAAAAGUGAUUUC